AGUGAACGCUGGCGGUAGGCCUAACACAUGCAAGUCGAACGGCAGCACAGUAAGAGCUUGCUCUUACGGGUGGCGAGUGGCGGACGGGUGAGGAAUACAUCGGAAUCUACUUUUUCGUGGGGGAUAACGUAGGGAAACUUACGCUAAUACCGCAUACGACCUACGGGUGAAAGCAGUGGAUCUUCGGACCUUGCGCGAUUGAAUGAGCCGAUGUCGGAUUAGCUAGUUGGCGGGGUAAAGGCCCACCAAGGCGACGAUCCGUAGCUGGUCUGAGAGGAUGAUCAGCCACACUGGAACUGAGACACGGUCCAGACUCCUACGGGAGGCAGCAGUGGGGAAUAUUGGACAAUGGGCGCAAGCCUGAUCCAGCCAUGCCGCGUGGGUGAAGAAGGCCUUCGGGUUGUAAAGCCCUUUUGUUGGGAAAGAAAAGCAGCAGGUUAAUACCCCGCUGUUCUGACGGUACCCAAAGAAUAAGCACCGGCUAACUUCGUG
rnacentral:rRNA from 1 species